rnacentral:rRNA from 1 species
UACGUAGGUGGCAAGCGUUGUCCGGAUUUAUUGGGUUUAAAGGGUGCGUAGGCGGUCUUAUAAGUCAGUGGUGAAAUACGGCAGCUCAACUGUCGAGGUGCCAUUGAUACUGUAGGACUUGAGUACAGACGAGGUAGGCGGAAUUGACGGUGUAGCGGUGAAAUGCUUAGAUAUCGUCAAGAACACCGAUAGCGAAGGCAGCUUACUAGGCUGUAACUGACGCUGAGGCACGAAAGUGUGGGGAUCAAAACAGG